rnacentral:tRNA from 1 species
GCGUCGGCUGGGCAUCGGUGAGCCCAACGGACUGUAAAUCCGCCGCCACAGGCUGUGUAGGUUCAACUCCUACCCGGCGCA